CACUCCUACGGGAGGCAGCAGUAGGGAAUCUUCGGCAAUGGGGGCAACCCUGACCGAGCAACGCCGCGUGAGUGAAGAAGGUUUUCGGAUCGUAAAGCUCUGUUGUAAGUCAAGAACGAGUGUGAGAGUGGAAAGUUCACACUGUGACGGUAGCUUACCAGAAAGGGACGGCUAACUACGUGCCAGCAGCCGCGGUAAUACGUAGGUCCCGAGCGUUGUCCGGAUUUAUUGGGCGUAAAGCGAGCGCAGGCGGUUUGAUAAGUCUGAAGUUAAAGGCUGUGGCUCAACCAUAGUUCGCUUUGGAAACUGUCAAACUUGAGUGCAGAAGGGGAGAGUGGAAUUCCAUGUGUAGCGGUGAAAUGCGUAGAUAUAUGGAGGAACACCGGUGGCGAAAGCGGCUCUCUGGUCUGUAACUGACGCUGAGGCUCGAAAGCGUGGGGAGCGAACAGGAUUAGAUACCCCAGUAGUCCCAUG
rnacentral:rRNA from 1 species